AAAGCUUGCUGAGCCCUGGAGCAGAGGAUGCAGAGACAUUCCAGUUUUCACAGCAUGCUAGGAAGGAGGAAGGACAUGUUGUUCUCACCUAGCAGUAAAAUUGAGAAAAAAAGCAAAAAUCUGCAAGACCAAAAAAUACCUAACAUUCACAGGAUAAUCUGAAUGUUCUUGUUCAAAAUUCUUGGAGGCCAUCUCACUGCUAU